rnacentral:rRNA from 1 species
GAGGGGCAGCGGGGAGGAAGCUUGCUUUCUCCGCCGGCGACCGGCGCACGGGUGAGUAACACGUAUGCAACCUGCCCCUGUCAGGGGGACAACCCGCCGAAAGGCGGGCUAAACCCGCGUACAUGCCACCGGGGCAUCCCGGAGGCAGGAAAGGCUUCGGCCGGACAGGGAUGGGCAUGCGGCGCAUUAGGCAGUAGGCGGGGUAACGGCCCACCUAACCGACGAUGCGUAGGGGUUCUGAGAGGAAGGUCCCCCACACUGGUACUGAGACACGGACCAGACUCCUACGGGAGGCAGCAGUGAGGAAUAUUGGUCAAUGGUCGGGAGACUGAACCAGCCAAGCCGCGUGAGGGAGGAAGGUACAGAGUAUCGUAAACCUCUUUUGUCAGGGAACAAAGGCGGGGACGUGUCCCCGGAUGAGUGUACCUGAAGAAAAAGCAUCGGCUAACUCCGUGCCAGCAGCCGCGGUAAUACGGAGGAUGCGAGCGUUAUCCGGAUUUAUUGGGUUUAAAGGGUGCGCAGGCGGUCUGUUAAGUCAGCGGUCAAAGCCCGGGGCUCAACCCCGGCCCGCCGUUGAAACUGGCAGUCUCGAGUUGGAGAGAAGUAUGCGGAAUGCGCGGUGUAGCGGUGAAAUGCAUAGAUCUUUUGGAAAACUCCGAUUGCGAAGGCAGCAUGCCGGCUCCACAC